GUCAGGCAUGGUGGCGUGCGCCUGUAGUCCCAGCUACCUGGGAGGCUGAGGCAGGAGAAUUGCUUGAGCCUGGGAGGCGGAGGUUGCAGUGAGCCAAGAUCGCGCCACUGCAUUCUAGCCUGGGCAACAGAGCAAGACUCUGUCUCAA
rnacentral:SRP_RNA from 1 species